rnacentral:misc_RNA from 1 species
UUUGUCAUUGAUUUGUUUUCAGUGAAACUGUGUUUUUUUGUGCAGCAUUUAAGCAAUCCAGUACAACCUCCAGCUCUACACCUCCUUGCCAUAAUGUUGCCAGUAAAACUGUAUAAAAGGAACCUGAGCCUGAAGGUUUCAGGCGGCACACCUUGGAAAUUCUACACAUGAUCUGGCUGAGGCUUGAUAACCUGACUGCCCUGAUGGGCACUGUGUUAGAAGCUGUGAACAAGCACAAGGAGGACGAUGACGACAACUUCCCCGUUCAGGAGCCACCCGCAAGCUAUGACACCUUCAUGGAAUCUAAGUGCCAACUACAGGCUAGCGAAGCCAUGAGAAAAAAAGCUGCUGGAAAGGGCAAAAGGGCAAGGCGAAAUUCCAACAGCUGCAGUGUGUUGAGCUCAUUUACCAAGCUGUAAAAAGAAACCCCCGUAUCACAACGACACGUCACGACAUUGAGGAGGUAAUCAAGACGUGGCUACGACACGCGGCGGAGAAGCUCAGGAAGCUUGAGGAAUCUGGUCUUGGCAACACCCCCUAACUUUUUAUGAACAUCUAUAUCCAUGUAUAGUGUGCACCUUCUUUAAUUCAUGCUUUAUUUUCUCUCUUCAAGCCCAUCUUCAGGUAAUACUUGUUUGACCCGCAGCCACAAUAACACCAAAGAACAAGUUUUGUUAGUUUGUCAUUAUCAUUUCCAGUUGUUUUAGUGUUCAAAUUCUAGUAUCUUUAUCUAAUAUUUUUUUCUCAUUAUUUAUAAUGAAUGCC